AUUAAUUCUAUUUGAGAUAUUAGAUUAAAGUUUUCUAACAUCUUUGGUUUUUCACUGAUACACUGGAUAAAACCAGGGAACUUGGAUGCUGACAUCCCUU